rnacentral:rRNA from 1 species
GAUGAACGCUGGCGGCGUGCCUAAUACAUGCAAGUCGAGCGAACAGACGAGGAGCUUGCUCCUCUGACGUUAGCGGCGGACGGGUGAGUAACACGUGGAUAACCUACCUAUAAGACUGGGAUAACUUCGGGAAACCGGAGCUAAUACCGGAUAAUAUAUUGAACCGCAUGGUUCAAUAGUGAAAGACGGUUUUGCUGUCACUUAUAGAUGGAUCCGCGCCGCAUUAGCUAGUUGGUAAGGUAACGGCUUACCAAGGCGACGAUGCGUAGCCGACCUGAGAGGGUGAUCGGCCACACUGGAACUGAGACACGGUCCAGACUCCUACGGGAGGCAGCAGUAGGGAAUCUUCCGCAAUGGGCGAAAGCCUGACGGAGCAACGCCGCGUGAGUGAUGAAGGUCUUCGGAUCGUAAAACUCUGUUAUUAGGGAAGAAGAAAUGUGUAAGUAACUAUGCACGUCUUGACGGUACCUAAUCAGAAAGCCACGGCUAACUACGUG